CGCGGCGAACCGGAUGGUUCCGGGCACCGGUUCAUACCCGGUUGCGCAGCGGGUUCGACUCCCGCCGUCGCGU
rnacentral:tRNA from 1 species